rnacentral:rRNA from 1 species
UGGGGAAUAUUGCGCAAUGGGGGGAACCCUGACGCAGCCAUGCCGCGUGAAUGAAGAAGGCCUUCGGGUUGUAAAGUUCUUUCGGUAUUGAGGAAGGUUGAUGUGUUAAUAGCACAUCAAAUUGACGUUAAAUACAGAAGAAGCACCGGCUAACUCCGUGCCAGCAGCCGCGGUAAUACGGAGGGUGCGAGCGUUAAUCGGAAUAACUGGGCGUAAAGGGCACGCAGGCGGUUAUUUAAGUGGGGUGUGAAAGCCCCGGGCUUAACCUGGGAAUUGCAUUUCAGACUGGGUAACUAGAGUACUUUAGGGAGGGGUAGAAUUCCACGUGUAGCGGUGAAAUGCGUAGAGAUGUGGAGGAAUACCGAAGGCGAAGGCAGCCCCUUGGGAAUGUACUGACGCUCAUGUGCGAAAGCGUGGGGAGCAAGCAGGAUUAGAUACCCUGGUAGUCCACGCUGUAAACGCUGUCGAUUUGGGGGUUGGGGUUUAACUCUGGCGCCCGUAGCUAACGUGAUAAAUCGACCGCCUGGGGAGUACGGCCGCAAGGUUA